rnacentral:rRNA from 1 species
GAUGAACGCUGGCGGCGUGCCUAAUACAUGCAAGUCGAGCGAACAGACGAGGAGCUUGCUCCUCUGACGUUAGCGGCGGACGGGUGAGUAACACGUGGAUAACCUACCUAUAAGACUGGGAUAACUUCGGGAAACCGGAGCUAAUACCGGAUAACAUGUUGAACCGCAUGGUUCAACAGUGAAAGACGGUCUUGCUGUCACUUAUAGAUGGAUCCGCGCCGCAUUAGCUAGUUGGUAAGGUAACGGCUUACCAAGGCAACGAUGCGUAGCCGACCUGAGAGGGUGAUCGGCCACACUGGAACUGAGACACGGUCCAGACUCCUACGGGAGGCAGCAGUAGGGAAUCUUCCGCAAUGGGCGAAAGCCUGACGGAGCAACGCCGCGUGAGUGAUGAAGGUCUUCGGAUCGAAAAACUCUGUUAUUAGGGAAGAACAAAUGUGUAAGUAACUAUGCACGUCUUGACGGUACCUAAUCAGAAAGCCACGGCUAACUACGUG